ensembl:snRNA U6 U6 spliceosomal RNA
GUGCUCGUUUUGGCAGCACAUAUACUAAAAUUGGAACAAUACAGAGAGGAUUCGCAUGACCCCUGACAAGGAUGACAUGCAAAUUCAUGAAGUGUUCCAAAAAAAG